rfam:Intestinimonas butyriciproducens strain AF211, complete genome.
ACAAUGAUACUCCCGCGUUGAACACCCUCAAAGUAUUGCGCGGCGCACCCAUAAGCAUGGGCCGGGGUGAAACUCCCGUGA